rnacentral:rRNA from 1 species
GGGGAAUAUUGCACAAUGGGGGAAACCCUGAUGCAGCGACGCCGCGUGGAGGAAGAAGGUCUUCGGAUUGUAAACUCCUGUUGUUGAGGAAGAUAAUGACGGUACUCAACAAGGAAGUGACGGCUAACUACGUGCCAGCAGCCGCGGUAAAACGUAGGUCACAAGCGUUGUCCGGAAUUACUGGGUGUAAAGGGAGCGCAGGCGGGAAGACAAGUUGGAAGUGAAAUCCAUGGGCUCAACCCAUGAACUGCUUUCAAAACUGUUUUUCUUGAGUAGUGCAGAGGUAGGCGGAAUUCCCGGUGUAGCGGUGGAAUGCGUAGAUAUCGGGAGGAACACCAGUGGCGAAGGCGGCCUACUGGGCACCAACUGACGCUGAGGCUCGAAAGUGUGGGUAGCAAACAGGAUUAGAUACCCUGGUAGUCCACACCGUAAACGAUGAUUACUAGGUGUUGGAGGAUUGACCCCUUCAGUGCCGCAGUUAACACAAUAAGUAAUCCACCUGGGGAGUACGACCGCAAGGUUGAAACUCAAAGGAAUUGACGGGGGCCCGCACAAGCAGUGGAGUAUGUGGUUUAAUUCGACGCAACGCGAAGAACCUUACCAAGUCUUGACAUCCUGCGACGCACAUAGAAAUAUGUGUUUCCUUCGGGACGCAGAGACAGGUGGUGCAUGGUUGUCGUCAGCUCGUGUCGUGAGAUGUUGGGUUAAGUCCCGCAACGAGCGCAACCCUUAUGGUCAGUUACUACGCAAGAGGACUCUGGCCAGACUGCCGUUGACAAAACGGAGGAAGGUGGGGAUGACGUCAAAUCAUCAUGCCCUUUAUGACUUGGGCUACACACGUACUACAAUGGCGUUAACAGAGGGAAGCAAAGCGGUGACGCAGAGCAAAACCCUAAAAACGGUCCCAGUUCGGACUGUAGGCUGCAACCCGCCUACACGAAGUUGGAAUUGCUAGUAAUCGCGGAUCAGCAUGCCGCGGUGAAUACGUUCCCG